UCAAGGUUAGGUUGUCAACACUGUUGUACGAGUAAAAAAAAACUAGAUUUGAAACUCUGCUCCCAUAUCUGUCGUUACAUGGUCAGCAGCAAUUACUGAAAGAGGGAGAAACGAGAAAGCGGGACUGACAAGCAAGAGCUUGGUUUGUGAAAGCCUCUCAGGAUCUCACAGCUGUAGCUCCGCUUGAGAAACAUCUAUUAUGGAUUUGAGAUGUGCAACGUGCAGCUUACAUGUCCCAAAUUGACAGACGUAAAGAAGCUCAGAAUUCGAGUCUCGAAGGAGGAGCUACGUCCAGCCGGACGUUUUAUACAGCUGAACAGUUGCCAUGGGAGACUAAAGGCUCUCUAAAACGCGCAUGAAAGAAUCAAAGCAUCACUCCAGGUAUGUUUUUGAUCAGAGAAUAACAUCCUAACAUUGUGUAAAGCUGUAAAAAGUUGAUUUUACAUAAUUCUGCCCCUUUAAAUGCAUGUUUUAAUUUAAGUUCUGCAUUCGGUUUUGUGUGGACAAAACAAAUGGCUCCUGUGUAACUUGCUAAAGGGCAUACAUUCAAACAUUAAUGUGGAUUGAAUUUAUAUGUAUACUUUACAUAGUUAGGGUGAAAGAGGAUCCAAAAUUUGAGCAGAUUUGCACACCAAGUUUUAGUUUUAAAAAAUUAACAACCACCUCCACCCCCCCCCUCCCAAAAAAAGAAAAAAAAAACAGGAUUCAAAUGUGCACUAAAGUUGUUUUUUUCUAGAUCUUAGUGAUAUGUGAAUCAGCGUAAUGUGGCUUAAAAGACUGAAAAUGCAAACAUCACCUACUGCCUCUGACUGUUAGAACUUAAAUAGAAGUACUUAGAAGUUUGGCUUUACACCGUACUGAUUCACUGAUGCUGCUUGUUAAGUUGCAGUUAUGAUUGUCCAUAUUGUGCAAACAGUUUUUUUUUUCACUAUCUUCACAGCACUCACUGAGUAUGAGGGGGGGACAUAAUGAAGUGUAGGUGAGAGCUCAUCUGUAACCUGAGUAGAAAUGAUCACCAAAAAAA